rnacentral:rRNA from 1 species
UACAGAGGGCUCAAGCGUUGUUCGGAUUCAUUGGGCGUAAAGGGCGCGUAGGCGGCGCGGUAAGUCGGGUGUGAAAUCUCGGAGCUUAACUCCGAAACUGCAUUCGAUACUACCGUGCUUGAGGACUGGAGAGGAGACUGGAAUUUACGGUGUAGCGGUGAAAUGCGUAGAUAUCGUAAGGAAGACCAGUGGCGAAGGCGGGUCUCUGGACAGUUCCUGACGCUGAGGCACGAAGGCCAGGGGAGCAAACGGG